UCAAGAACUUAGAACUUAAGAGUUUCAUUACAGAAUUAGUGAAGAGAGUAUGGAAGUACACAUGGUAAGAAAAGGUGUUGUGGCAAUGAUAUUAGUUCUUACGUUAGUUGCAACACAAGUUGAAAGCAUGACUCAAUCUCUAGAAUUUGAGCCAAAUAAGAUGAAAGGGCCUCUUUGUGAAGCAAGAUGUGACGUGAUUUGUGCCAAACCCAAACACAUAAAAAAUUAUGCAGCUUGUGUGAAAGCAUGUGUAAAACAAUGUUAUCCCCCUGCAGUCAAAACAAAACCAUAGCUUUAGUCCUCCAGUCAAAACAAAAAUAAGGGUAAUCAUGCAGUGCAGUUCAUACAUAUAUUAGUUCUACAAGCUUGGAGGCUUGCAACAUUAAAUAAUUUGUAUAUGUGAAAUGUACUCAUGAGAACUCGAGAUUAUGUCAAACUUAAGAUAAAAAUAAUAUCUAUUCAUACUAUUAUUUGCAAUAUUUAUAAUCCAUCUCUCUCAAACAUUA